UGCGUAGGAGACGAGCGUUGUCCGGAGUUACUGGGCGUAAAGGGCGCGCAGGCGGCCUGGCGCGUCGCGAGUGAAAUCUCCUGGCUCAACUGGGAGGGUGGUCGCGAGACGGCUGGGCUUGAGGCUCGGUGAGGGGCGUGGAAUUCCGGGUGGAGCGGUGAAAUGCGUAGAGAUCCGGAGGAACACCGACGGCGUAGGCAGCGCCCUAGACGAGACCUGACGCUCAGGCACGAAAGCGCGGGGAGCGAACAGG
rnacentral:rRNA from 1 species